rnacentral:rRNA from 1 species
UACGGGGGGAGCAAGCGUUGUUCGGAUUUACUGGGCGUAAAGGGCGCGUAGGCGGCCACCGCAAGUCGACUGUGAAAUCUCCGGGCUUAACCCGGAAAGGUCAGCCGAUACUGCGGGGCUAGAGUGCAGAAGGGGCAACUGGAAUUCGUCGGUGUAGCGGUGAAAUGCGUAGAUAUCGAGAGGAACACCUGCGGCGAAGGCGGGUGCUGGGCUGACACUGACGCUGAUGCGCGAAAGCCAGGGGAGCGAACAGG